CCCUCUGCCCCUCCGCCCCUCCGCCUGUCCGCCUCUCUCCUUCUCCCUUGUUCCCUCUCUCCCUCCCUGCUCCCCCACCUCCCUCCCGAGUCGUAGACUCCCUUCCCCCCGGCGCUGGGAGUCUCCUUCCCGCCCCGCCGCGCAGGUGCGGCGACGGCCGCGUCACUGGAGAGUGUGUCGAGUCACAGGCGGUCUUCCGCGCGGAGCGUCCCCGGCGGACGCUGCGCAGAUGGCUGCGACUGUAGGAUUCUUGCCGGCUAGUCUUCGUCGGUUCCGCCUGCGUCAGGUUACUCGUGAAAACUCGAAUAAGUGCUAUCGAUGUGAAAUCCGAGGAAAAGAGCAUUUGGGGGAAAAGUUAUUUCCUUCCAAUCCCAUCCCAAAUGGAGGUUGCAGCAGGGUAGAGUUUUUGGACAAUCUUGUUUACUGCUGCAUCCCCAGUGUCAAGAAGGCUGCCUGAACAUAGAAAGUCUUCAAUAUAUAUUUGCUGAAAUAAAAGUAAAAAUUCAGUCUGGUGUCUCCAUAAUCACAGCCAUGGCCUUGUAAACAGGUAGUGAUGCGGACAGAGCCAUCUGUGCUGCGCUGCAGACCCACACAGAGGUCUACUGGAAGGGAGGAGCCCGAGGCGAGUCCACUGAAUGUGGGCACUUCCCAGACUUCCAGUACUGUUUUGAAGAGGAGUGAUGAGAGUGGCCAUCCUUAUCUUGUUCCAGUUCUCAGAGGGAAUGCUUUCAACUUUUUCCCAGUCGGUAUUAUGUUGGCUGUGGGUUUGUCAUAGAUGGCUUUUAUUACAUUGUGGUAUGUCCCUUGUAUCCUGAUUUUGCUGAGAGUUUUAAUCUAAAGCGAUGCUGGAUUUCAUCAAAUGCUUUUUCUGCAUCUAUUGAGAUGAUCAUCUGGUUUUUGUUUUUAAUUCUGUUUAUUUGAUGUAUCAACUUUUAUUGACUUGCGUAUGUUAAAUCAUCCCUACAUCCCUGGCAUAAAACCCACUUGAUCAUGGUGGAUUAUCUUUUUGAUCAAAAAUUGGAUAAAGAAACUGUGGUAUAUAAAUACAAUGGAAUACUACUCAGCCAUAAAAGGAAUGAAUUAAUGGCAUUCACAGCAACCUGGAUGAGAUUGGAGACUAUUAUUCUAAGUGAAGUAACUCAAGAAUGGAAAACCAAACAUCAUAUGUUCUCACUCAUAAGUGAGAGCUAAGCUAUGAGCAUGCGAGGGAACAAGAAUGACACAAUGAACUUUGGGGACUCAGUGGGGAAGGCCAGGCAGGGGUGGGGGAUAAAAGACUACAAAUUGUGUGCAGUGUAUACUGCUUGGGUGAUGGGUGCACCAAAAUCUCACAAAUCACCACUGAAGUACUAACUCAUGUAACCAAACAUCUCCUGUUGCCCAAUAACCUAUGGAAAUAGAAAAAUUUCAAUAAAAACGUUUCUAGUUUCUCUAA
rnacentral:lncRNA from 1 species